rnacentral:rRNA from 1 species
UACGGAGGGUGCAAGCGUUAAUCGGAAUUACUGGGCGUAAAGCGUGCGCAGGCGGUUUGUUAAGUCUGUUGUGAAAUCCCCGAGCUCAACUUGGGAAUUGCAGUGGAUACUGGCAGGCUGGAGUAUGGUAGAGGAAGGUGGAAUUCCCGGUGUAGCAGUGAAAUGCGUAGAGAUCGGGAGGAACACCAGUGGCGAAGGCGGCCUUCUGGACCAAUACUGACGCUCAUGCACGAAAGCAUGGGGAGCGAACAGG